GCAAACUUGGUCAUUUAGAGGAAGUAAAAGUCGUAACAAGGUUUCCGUAGGUGAACCUGCGGAGGGAUCAUUACCAGAGAUGGCGGGCCUCCGUGCCCCCGUCCCCCACCCUUUGUUGACACACCUUUUUGCCUCGGGGGCAGAGCGUCCGUCGCCGCCCCCGGAGGAUCAACCAACGCUGUCUUUCUACGUCGGAGUUUUGAUUAAAAUUGAAUGAAAACUUUCAACAACGGAUCUCUUGGUUCUGGCAUCGAUGAAGAACGCAGC
rnacentral:misc_RNA from 1 species